AUAGGAACGCAGAUGUUGGCCGGUGGUGGGGGUUUCGUGCACACCCCCCAAUUAGACAUUAAAAACAAAUGUGCGUGUGAGAGACGCAUACCUGCAAGGCUCAACAGAAGGUGACGCGUAAUGUGCACUCCUCUCCAUCCACGAGCGUGCGUCUCAAAAAGGCGUGCGCGUCAGCGGCCGAGCAGGAUGUUGUGCGAGGAGUCCCGGUCGAGAACUGGCCAACAACGAAUUGGAUGAAAAAGUCCAACCAUUCAUUGGUAGAUCAACCUUCAAAUGUCACUUUAGGACAGUGCCACGCUCCCCAUCGUUGGAUGAUGAUGAGACAACUGAAGAUACAAUGACAUCGCAACAUUCUGUCAGUUUCUACCUAACCUUAACACUGCCUAUUAUUUACAAGAACAUGUUGUAACACUAUCUGUUUCAUAAUGCUAC